rnacentral:rRNA from 1 species
CCAAUAGCGUAUAUUAAAGUUGUUGCAGUUAAAAAGCUCGUAGUUGAAUUUCGGGAUUGGCGCAUCGGUCGUGCCUCACGGGGUAUGAACUGGUGCAGUCAAUUUCUCACCUUCUGGAGAACCGCGAUGUCCUUAAUAGGGUGCCGCGGGGAACCAGGACCUUUACUUUGAAACAAUUAGAGUGUUUAAAGCAGGCAUUUUUGCUUGAAUACAUUAGCAUGGAAUAAUAAAAUAGGACGGCAUGGUUCUAUUUUGUUGGUUUCUAGGACCACCGUAAUGAUUAAUAGGGAUAGUUGGGGGCAUUAGUAUUCAAUUGUCAGAGGUGAAAUUCUUGGAUUUAUUGAAGACUAACUACUGCGGAAGCAUUUGCCAAGGAUGUUUUCAUUAAUCAAGAACGAAAGUUAGGGGAUCGAAGACGAUCAGAUACCGUCGUAGUCUUAACCAUAAACUAUGCCGACUAGGAAUCAGACGAUGUUAAUUUUUUAAUGACUCGUUUGGCACCUUACG